GUGGCGCGGCAGCCACGUGAUCGGGGUAUCUACGCAGCAAGGUCGUGAGGUCAGCGAGGGGAGCCCCAGACCGCUCCGACUGGGAAACGGCCUGGCGCCGCUCGCCGGCUAGGGCAGCUUUCCUUCCUCCACUGCCGGCCCUUGUAGCUCCGCAGGGGCUGGAGGGCGAGGCCGCAGCGGCGAAAACGACUGAAGUCCGGGCUCAGCCGCGGGCUUUAGGCAUGCAGAGUGGCAGAGAGGCCAGGAAGCAUCCAGGCCACAGACUGAGCCACCCAAAUGGAAACGUUGUGGACCUCAAGACAUCUUUUGACUGCACAGAGAGAUGUUGCCUUCCGUAUUUCUAGCAGCACAACUCCAAGCCUCACCCAACAAAAGUGUCUCAGAAAAUUCGUUCAGGAUACUUCUUCACUGGAGAGCACAUGUCUCCUACCGGGAGACAGAGAAACAGAUUAUAGCCGAGUGCGGUAAUAAAGUAUCCGGGAGCUGUCUGAAGUAGCUGCAGAGUGUCAAGAGAUGUUGUUGGCAAUUCCUUUGCAGUGUUACUGGUACCAGGGAUCAAACUUGGGACCUUGUGCUUGGGAGGCAGGUGGUGGCACCACUGAGCUAAAUCCCUGGCCCAGGAUUUGUAAUUUUAGGCUCAGCUGAAGAACUGCCCUUUCCCCAGAUGCCUUCCAGGAUCUACUCAAGCUUGAAGUAAUUCCUCUCUUUCCUGGGGAUCGAACUUGGGACCUUGCGCUAACAAGGCAGACAGCGGAACCACUGAGCUACAUCCCCAGCCCCAUCACUGGGGUUUUUUAAUAGAGAAUUGUGAAGAUGAUAGAAAUUAAUACAUGUAAAGUAUUUGCAACAGUGCCCAGCUCAUAGUUACAAAAGACUGUGACUUCCAUUUUGCUAAUACUCUCACAUGCUCCCUCUGAUGAAGCCUGCUGCCAUGUUGUGAGGGGCUCUAUGGGAAGGCCCUCCAGCCACCAGCUGCUGAGGAACUGAGGCCUUAUUCUACUAGUACCCACAAAGACCUGAGUCCUGACAGAAGCCAUUUGCGUGAACUUAGAAGCAGAUCCUCCCUAAUAGUCUUCAGAGGAGACUGCGUCCCUGUGGCCUCAUGAGAAACCCUGAAGCAGAAGGUAGCUAAGCCAUGUCUGGAUUCCUGAAAUACAUGGCUUAAACUGCUGAGUUUGGAAGGGUAUAAUUUCUUAUGCACCAUGAUAACUAAUUCAUCUUCCAAGACAUAACUAUUAUCUUAAAUGUGUUAUCAUUCUUAUAUAUAUCUGUAUAAAGACUAUUUAUGUAUGUGUAUGGAUAGGAAUAAUUUGUCAAUUUUUUAUACACCAUGAUAACUAAUUCACCUUCUAAGAGGUAACCAUUGUCUUAAAUGUGUUGUUUCUCAUUCUUAUAUGUGUCUUUGUAUAAAGUCUAUAUAUACAUGUAUAUAUGCAUACACAUACACACAUUUGUGUGCAUAAUUCUCAUGCAUGUGUAUAUAGAAAAAUUGUAUGGAAUGUUUUUAAAAUUCAUAUGGGUGCUAUGAUAAUAGCUGUAUCCUUCUGGAACUAGCUUUUCCUUCAUUCAUUUUUGUAUUACCUCCACUCAGUCUUUGCCCUUCCAAGAACCCUUUCUCUGUCUCCGCCACUGUGGGUUUUAGUCUCCUCCUUAGCUCAGCCCUUGCUGUUUUGUUCAGUUUACCUGCAAAAGUCCCAAGCCAGUGAAUUAAGCUCAGUCCUAUCUUAGACUAAGCUUAGCUUCUUCCCUUUCUAAACCAAAAUCUAGGUGUAAGCUCUUCAAUAUCACAUGGACCUCUGGGCAUACCCACAUCAUCACUUUGGUUUCCUUCAGUAGUGGUGCUUCUCUCUCACUGUUUAUCUUAAAGUUUAAUGUGUAUAGUAAUUACCUGUGCACUUCGUUAUAAUGUGAUUUUGACUCACUAGAUCCACAAAGGGCCUGAUAUUCUGUAUUUCUGCAACACGUCUAGGUAUCACUGAUGCUCAUGCUCCAUGGGCCACAUGUUUAACAGCAAGGUUUCAGAGGCUAGAAAUCUAUUUGCAAAAAAUUGUUUUAAUUUGACAAUAUAUAUUGGACAGCAAUACAAGAAUUUAAAUCUAUCCAAUGAUAGAAUAUGAUAGCUUUCUAAGGUAAGGUGGGCUAAUAAACAAAACCAAAUACAAACAAUAUAAGAAAAUACUUUAUGCAGUGAUUUUUACCUAAAGCAACCCAAAGGAAGAAAAUAAUAGAUUGGAGUUGAAAUUAAUGGAAUAAGUAAUAGAAAAACUAUAGAGAAAAUCAGUGAAGUCAAAAGCUAGUUCUUUGAAAAAAUCCACAAAAUUGUCAAAUCAUUGGCAAAGUAGAAUAA